AGCUUGCUAGAUUGAUGGCGAGUGGCGAACGGGUGAGUAAUACAUCGGAACGUGCCCUGUAGUGGGGGAUAACUAGUCGAAAGAUUAGCUAAUACCGCAUACGACCUGAGGGUGAAAGUGGGGGACCGCAAGGCCUCAUGCUAUAGGAGCGGCCGAUGUCUGAUUAGCUAGUUGGUGGGGUAAAGGCCCACCAAGGCGACGAUCAGUAGCUGGUCUGAGAGGACGAUCAGCCACACUGGGACUGAGGCACGGCCCAGACUCCUACGGGAGGCAGCAGUGGGGAAUUUUGGACAAUGGGCGAAAGCCUGAUCCAGCAAUGCCGCGUGUGUGAAGAAGGCCUUCGGGUUGUAAAGCACUUUUGUCCGGAAAGAAAUGGCUCUGGUUAAUACCUGGGGUCGAUGACGGUACCGGAAGAAUAAGGACCGGCUAACUACGUGCCAGCAGCCGCGGUAAUACGUAGGGUCCAAGCGUUAAUCGGAAUUACUGGGCGUAAAGCGUGCGCAGGCGGUUGUGCAAGACCGAUGUGAAAUCCCCGAGCUUAACUUGGGAAUUGCAUUGGUGACUGCACGGCUAGAGUGUGUCAGAGGGGGGUAGAAUUCCACGUGUAGCAGUGAAAUGCGUAGAGAUGUGGAGGAAUACCGAUGGCGAAGGCAGCCCCCUGGGAUAACACUGACGCUCAUGCACGAAAGCGUGGGGAGCAAACAGGAUUAGACACCCUGGUAGUCCACGCCCUAAACGAUGUCAACUAGUUGUUGGGGAUUCAUUUCCUUAGUAACGUAGCUAACGCGUGAAGUUGACCGCCUGGGGAGUACGGUCGCAAGAUUAAAACUCAAAGGAAUUGACGGGGACCCGCACAAGCGGUGGAUGAUGUGGAUUAAUUCGAUGCAACGCGAAAAACCUUACCUACCCUUGACAUGCCACUAACGAAGCAGAGAUGCAUUAGGUGCUCGAAAGAGAAAGUGGACACAGGUGCUGCAUGGCUGUCGUCAGCUCGUGUCGUGAGAUGUUGGGUUAAGUCCCGCAACGAGCGCAACCCUUGUCUCUAGUUGCUACGAAAGGGCACUCUAGAGAGACUGCCGGUGACAAACCGGAGGAAGGUGGGGAUGACGUCAAGUCCUCAUGGCCCUUAUGGGUAGGGCUUCACACGUCAUACAAUGGUGCAUACAGAGGGUUGCCAAGCCGCGAGGUGGAGCUAAUCCCAGAAAAUGCAUCGUAGUCCGGAUCGUAGUCUGUAACURGAAUACGUGAAGCUCGAAUCRCUAGUAAUCGCGGAUCAGCAUCCCGCGGUGAAUACGUUCCCGGGUCUUGUACACACCGCCCGUCACACCAUGGGAGUGGGCUUUACCAGAAGUAGUUAGCCUAACCGCAAGGAGGGCG
rnacentral:rRNA from 1 species